GAAUCUGGAGAAGACAGAGACCACAGUCCAGGUCAUCACAUGGAGCCUACCAGACCAAGUGCUGGGGACGUGGACAACACCCAGCUUGUCAGGAAGCACCAUACUCUGUCUAAGAUCAAUAUGUCUCAUCACCUGGGACCUCCUCCUGUUCAUUGACCUGUUGCAGUGAGCUUGCCAAACAGAUCUUUGAGCAGCUUGCCAAUUAAGAGAGUCUUUUCAGGAUUUGUAAAUGAGGAAGUUUAGGUGAAAUUGGAAUGAAGCUAUGGGUUGAUAGGCUUGCCCUGAAGAGCUGCAUGGGCCUCCUUGGGAACCGCAAAGAUAAGAGAGGCAAGAGCGUGUGUUGAGAGACCCUGGUCUGAAGCUGUGCCCCCAGGUUGAACCUCUGGGCUGUGUCCCUGUGUCAGAGACCCAGCUCCCUUAGGGACAGUGGGCUGCUUUACUCUCAUUACUUUCAUUCUAUGUGGCAAGUGUCUGACAGUCUAGGACUUUAGAGGCUCAAGCUAUGUAAGUUUCAUGCCAGCCACCCAGAGCCCAAAUCUAAACAGGAUAGUCAGCCUGCUCCUCAUAAAGCUCACAGCCCACAGGGGAGGAUGGUCUCAAACUACUAGUAUCACUAACUAUCCUGCAACACCACGUGGUUAUACAUACUAUAUAAGCUAUAUAUGACUUAUUCAGUUAUACAACUCAUGCAGCUAUGUUAAUUGGUUACAGAGUGAAAUGUGCUCAGUGUUAGUUAACCUGGCCUGACAUGGUCCAGGGGUUGAAGGUGGACUUGCUGGGACAGGGCGUUUAAGCAGAAGCCUGAAGCAGGAGGACGACUAGUGAACUGAAGAGAGGCAGAAGAAACAGCAUGUGCAAAGGCCCUGGGUAAAAGCUUAAAGAAGCACAUGGAUGAGAUAAGAAAAAUCCAUGGAGGGGCCAGAAAGAACACCCGAAGCUAAGCGUCUAUGGAGAGAUGCCAGAUGCUGUUGCCUCUACAUGUCAGAAGUUGGGAUGGAAAAAUUCUACAUAAAAAAUACUGGCCUUUGUCUUUGACCUUUUAGUUAAGAACUGAAGACAGUUUUCCUUGGUGGGGAUACCACUGGCUUCUGGAUAUGAGUGCUUUGUGUUUGGUGUUGAUAAAAAGCUUAUCAAACUUCCUGACAAAAUCAGGCCAACUGCUCUCCCAACGUGUCUGAAAGAGCCCUCAGGACAGACGUGAGAGACUGGAGAGAUGGGGAUUCUUAGAAUGCUAAAAGUGAGACCUGGAAAUACAUCCUUCCACCUCUGCCCAAACUGGACAGCUCUUUAUUAACUCAUUAUUAACUGGGGGAUUUUUGCAGAAAGUAAUGCCUGUGGCCAGCGAUUUUUAUUUUGGCUGGCCAAAAAUUAAUUCUGUUACUUCACUAACACUUUGCGGGUUAUUGCAUUCAACAGUUACACCUGAUGCACCUGUAAAGUCUCCUCCAGCACCAUGAGUUUCAUUUUCACUUUCCAUAUAAGAAUCAAUCACUGAAGUUUUUUGUCUUUUUGUUGGUCUAAUAUUCACACCAUCUGAAUCAGAACUAUGUUCUGAAGAACUAUCAUCUUCUGAGACACUGGUAUAUAUGUCUCUCAGACAAUCAGAGGAAGUAUCUGGAUAAAAUUCACUGAAAAGUUCUUCUUCACUCAGAGUUUUGCAAUGCAUCAUUUUUGAAAAUUUUAUGGUAAUUAACUUAUGUGUAUAAUAUACACAGAAUUGGAAUAAAAACCCAACAGAGCAAAACGUGAAUGGUAACGACUGUCAUAAGUUGUAUAAUAAUCAAUGUUAAGCUCCAGCAGCUUCACACAGUGAUGUUAAUUGUAUCAUUCUGUCAAAACAUAUCGUCAUGUCUCAGGUCAGUAAUCUGUUAAGUCACCAACAGUCUCACAGCCCAGUCAUCUUCUUCCCUCUUUGCUCCAAAAGGGACUUAAAUCAACCAAUAGAAAUAGACAAGUUAAAAAAAGACAACAUGAAACUGGAAAGAGAAAAUGAGGGUGGGGAAGCCUGGCCGGGCACAUUGACUGAUCUGAGCCUGAGUCCCCAGGGAAAGGGCCCUGACUUUUGGGGUUCCCCAAGGCUGGAUCCCCAUCUGUGCUGUGAAUCAGUGUAGGGCCCCUGAGUUCUACUUGGCCACCGAGGCAUCCGUGCUCCUGGGGAGUCGCAACUUUUCUUUCUGUUUUUCCCUGUGCAUUGAACUAUCUCCAAAUCCUAUUUAGAUUACAGUUAUCUUGCAAUAAACAGACCAACAAUCACCAAACACGCUGGAAGUGAGGAAAGUGCCCUCAAUGGGCAGCAUGGCCUGGACUGGACGUGAAGGCCCGCCCAGGAGCAGAGGAGAGCUAGAGGGGCUGCCGGCCGGCGGAUGCUGAGGGCAGGCUCAUGGGGCCUGGGAAUGGGGUCGGAAGCCCAGAAAGUCCAUCUCAUUGUAAAUUUAAUGUGAAGCGAUUAAGAAGUGGUUUUAAAGCAAUCAAUGUCGUCUACACUAGGUGUAUUUUGUAACUUCACAUAACUCUGUAAAAUACGGUUCACUUUUCCUAGACAGUCACACAGACAUUAAAGGUUUCUGUACAGGUGGGAGCAGCAGAGACAGGUGGCUCUCUUUGCAGUGAAAGGAGAGGCAUCACAGCAGCAAAAUGUGUCUUUGGAGAAGAGAGUGCAGUUAAACUCACUCUUGUUCCUGUUUCUUCAGUUUGAUUAGUGGAAUUGGCUUGCUUCAUCAUGAUUAGCCCUGGAUCAUCAAUAGUCUCUAUUCUUUAGCUCCUCUGAUCAGCACAAGAGAAGGGGUUUCCAGCAUCACUUACAAAAAUGAAUGCUUCUGUGCCAUGAAACAGACACUAGCACUGACCUUGAAGACCCCAGACUUCUCAGACCUCUGUUCUCAGGAUCCUUUGUAGUCUCAUAAAUGACUGAGGAGCCAAAGACCUUUUAUUCAUGUGUGGUGAAUGUAUUACUGUAUUAGAACUUAAAAAUAAUAAAAUUUUUAUGUGCAUGCUGCAUGCUAAGUUGCUUCAGUCAUGUCCGACUCUUUGCGACCCUGUGGACGGUAGCCCGCGAGGCUCUCCUGUCUUUUGAAAUCCCCAGACAAAAAUAUUAGAGUGGGUUGCCAUGCCCUCCUCCAGGGGAGAAUCCUGAUCCAGAGAUUGAACCCAAGUCUCCUGCAUUGGCAGGUGGGUUCUUUAGCACUAGCGUCACCUAAAAUAACACUAA